rnacentral:rRNA from 1 species
GUCUACGGCCAUGCCACCUUGAACGUGCCCAAUCUCGUCUGAUCUCGGAAGUUAAGCAGGGUCGGGCCUGGUUAGUACUUGGAUGGGAGACCACCUAGGAAGACAAGGUGCUGUAGGCA